UACGUAGGGGGCAAGCGUUGUCCGGAAUCAUUGGGCGUAAAGAGCGUGUAGGCGGCCCGAUAAGUCCGCUGUGAAAGUCCAGGGCUCAACCCUGGAAUGCCGGUGGAUACUGUCGGGCUCGAGUUCGGAAGAGGUGAGUGGAAUUCCUGGUGUAGCGGUGAAAUGCGCAGAUAUCAGGAGGAACACCCGUGGCGAAGGCGGUUCUCUGGGCCUUACCUGACGCUGAGGAGCGAAAGCGUGGGGAGCGAACAGG
rnacentral:rRNA from 1 species